CCCUGCUUGUCUUCCAGAAUCGAGUGCCUGUGCCCUCUGCUUGCCCUGGCCAUCCAUCUGCUGGCUGCCAUGCACCCCACUCACUACCUUUGGGGCCAGUGAUGGGGACAUCAAACAAACGCCGAGGACUGAGAAGGGGUUAAGCAGGGAGACGGGUGAUCUGAGAGUCAGGAAUCAUGGAGAAAGUUAAAAAUAGGAUGAUCCAGCCCAGAGCAAGGAAGCGGGGUGAGCCUGGGCUGUUGGGGGUGACUGACGGGUUUGAGGAUGACUUGUGCUUUUCUUCUGUGCACUGAAUGGGAAGAAGUUGCCCUGGGACUCCAGAGACACAUCACUGAGAUCGUCUUUAUCCUGGGGGUUUGAGAUGGCCAGAGAGCAGAGGACGGGCAGAUCGGGAAUCUAGUUCUACCCUCCAGUCUCCUCUCAGCAGCUCGGCACCUCCCGUGACUUUCCAUGCCAACUUCCCCAAACUCCUCCGGAGUAAGAAUACAGCAGGAGGCUCCAGGUUCAUACUUGGCCUUUUAGCCAGUGAUGGCUCCAUUUCAGCCCACCGUCACCCUGCCAGGCUCAGUGGAACAAAGGUGCACUUGUCAUGUCCUCUGCAAGCAAGUUGUCACAACUCCAGAGUCUGGGCAGAGAGGAGUGACUCAGAACGAUUACUUACAGAGAAGAGAGACGUGGCUGCCUGCAGGGCUGCGGGAACGGAUCGGUCCCAGCUCCCGGUCAACAGAAUGCAAAGGGACGGAUGAAAUGGAGACAAGGACAGCGGGAGGGAUGACGUGGCCGGC
rnacentral:lncRNA from 14 species